GACACGACUCUCGACAAUGGAUAUCUUGGCUCUUGCAUCGAUGAAGAGCGCAGCGAAAUGCGAUACGUGGUGCGAAUUGCAGAAUCCCGCGAACCAUCGAGUCUUUGAACGCAAGUUGCGUCCGAGGCCAGCCGGCUAAGGGCGCGUCCGCCUGGGCGUCAAGC
rnacentral:rRNA from 1 species